GUGGGGAAUAUUGGACAAUGGGCGAAAGCCUGAUCCAGCCAUGCCGCGUGUGUGAAGAAGGUCUUCGGAUUGUAAAGCACUUUAAGUUGGGAGGAAGGGCAGUAAGUUAAUACCUUGCUGUUUUGACGUUACCGACAGAAUAAGCACCGGCUAACUUCGUGCCAGCAGCCGCGGUAAUACGAAGGGUGCAAGCGUUAAUCGGAAUUACUGGGCGUAAAGCGCGCGUAGGUGGUUUUGUAAGUUGGAGGUGACAUCCCCGGGCUCAACCUGGGAACUGCCUCCAAAACUGCAUGACUAGAGUACGGUAGAGGGUAGUGGAAUUUCCUGUGUAGCGGUGAAAUGCGUAGAUAUAGGAAGGAACACCAGUGGCGAAGGCGACUACCUGGACUGAUACUGACACUGAGGUGCGAAAGCGUGGGGAGCAAACAGGAUUAGAUACCCGGGUAGUCC
rnacentral:rRNA from 1 species